rfam:Triticum urartu cultivar G1812 contig1045680, whole genome shotgun sequence.
UAUAUACUCCCUCCAUCUGAAAAUACUUGUCGGAGAAAUAGAUAAAAAAUGGGUGUAUCUAGAACUAAAAUACAUCUAGAUACAUCCAUUUGUCCGACAAGUAUUCCCGGAUGGAGUAUUUC